rnacentral:misc_RNA from 1 species
GAUGAAGAACGUAGCGAAAUGCGAUAAGUAAUGUGAAUUGCAGAAUUCAGUGAAUCAUCGAAUCUUUGAACGCACAUUGCGCCCGCCAGUAUUCUGGCGGGCAUGCCUGUUCGAGCGUCAUUACAACCCUCAGGCCCCCGGGCCUGGCGUUGGGGAUCGGCGGAGCCCCCCGUGGGCACACGCCGUCCCCCAAAUGCAGUGGCGGUCCCGCCGCAGCUUCCAUCGCGUAGUAGCUAACACCUCGCGACUGGAGAGCGGCGCGGCCACGCCGUAAAACACCCAACUCUUCUGAAGUUGACCUCGAAUCAGGUAGGAAUACCCGCUGAACUUAAGCAUAUCAAUAAGCGGGA